rnacentral:lncRNA from 1 species
GCAAAUGCAUGAGAUAUGUUUUUUGUCUGAUUUUUUUAAGCUAUACUUGAAAUAUGAUAUAAAAUAAAUAACAAAAAUAAAAUAUAAUAUAAUAAAUAUAAAAAUAAUAAAUUUUUAUAUUAAUUUUAUAAUAUAUUUUUAUUAUAUAAAUUUUAAUAAUAUAUCUAUCUAUAUAGAUAUAUUAAUAUAUUAUUAUAAAAUAAUAAAAUUAUAAUUUCAUUGCUGUAAGGCUCCAAAAGAAAUCGAUCUUAAGAGACGCCAAGAG